AUGAUAUAUUUUCUAUAACAAUGCUCCCCAAAAAAUUGUACCCAAAAAUAAAAAAGAAGAGAAACCAAAUGGGCGCCAUCCAAGUGUAGGAAGUAGGAUUUGUCAAAUGGAGUACAGAAUUUGGGGUCACGUGACGAAAGCGUGCUUCCCAUCAUUACUACUGAAGGCGUUACUAUACGCGCACACACCGACUCGGAUGUUGCCGGUUUCAGGCUUCUCUGUGAUAACCAACCUUCGCCGCUAACGAAGGCACUCGGUUCGUUUGUCGGGUCAAAUAUCCAAUAUGAUCGCUAGGCGUAGGUGGCACACAGUUAACCGCUUCAAACGGCAAAAUGCUUUGGAAGUGCAUAACAUUGAUAACAUAGAAGAUAAGAUCAGCAAUUUACCUGAUUCCAUUCUUCAUCACAUUCUUUCAUAUCUUCCUACCAGGGAUGUUGUAGGGACAUGUAUACUAUCAACAAGGUGGAAGAAUCUUUGGACUUGUGUUGAAAACAUUGACUUUGAUGACUCAUUGCUCUACUCAAGUGGGAUUUUUGGUUAUCCUGUGAACGUCACUUGUUUCAUGCACUUUGUCCAGAGAGUUCUUCAACUUCGAGAAGAAUCCGACAUAAAAAAGUUUCGCCUUUCCUGCCGUGUUUGCUUCAGUGCCUCUCAUGUUUGUUUAUGGAUUUUAGCUGCUAUUAGGCAUAAUGUUAAAGAGCUUGAUCUUUGCCUUUUUGUAGAAGAGCCUUUUAUGUUGCCUCAAUGUGUUUUCAGUAGCAAGACGCUUACUUCUCUAAAACUUGAAAUGAAUUGUGUUCUUGAACUACCUGCUAGUACCUUUUUUCCUUUCCUUAGAACGUUGCACCUAUGUCUUGUCACAUUUCGGGAUGAUAGCUCAACCCAGAGGCUGUUUUCUGGUUGCCCUAUGCUUCGAGAGUUGGCUAUAUUAGAUUGUGAAUGGAUGAACUUGAAGCAUGUCGCAAUUUCAAUCUCUACAUUGAAGAGUUUGACAAUUGAUGAUUUGCCUUUCUUUGGCUCCACUGACGAUCUAAAUGGCUGCGAAAUCAAGAUUGAUGCAGCAAGUCUUAGUUUCCUAAAGUACAGUGGUUAUCUAUCAAAUGAGAUAUAUUUGUAUAAUCUAUCCCCCUCAGUGUAUGCAUCUAUUCACAUCCCAAUUCUCUAUGAGAAGCGAAAUCAAAUUGCUUUUCGUGCUGUUAAGCUCUUUAGAGGGCUACACAAAAUUAACGCUGCGAGAAUAUCUAGCAGGGCUAUUGAGUCUCUCUUCAUCGCAGACAUAGAGAAAGACCGACUUCCAGUAUUUUAUAACUUGAUGCAUUUGGAGUUGAGUAUGGAACUUGAAAAUCAUACGAUUGGACCAUUGAAGGAACUGCUCCAAUGUCUGCCAAAGUUGCAAUCACUUCAUUUUUCUGAGGGAUUUGCCCCCUGCAUGCGCCUUUGUGAAGAUGACUGGAACUUGGGAUCUGUACCAUCCUGUUUCUUGUCUAGUCUCAAGACAGUGACAUACACCAAUUUUCAUGGUAAUGAUACAGAAAUUUCUUUUUUAAGAAAUUUGGUGAACAAUGCAAUAGUUUUGGAGAAGCUGAACAUAGUGUGUUCAAAGAUACGUUUCGGGGAUCCAAAGAAGCAAAAGGAAGUUAAAGUUCAACUGCAAAGUCUUCAGAGGGGAUCAGUUUCUUGUGCUAUCAAGUUUAUGUAAAACCUCAAAGAGCCUUUACCUUUUAUUGUAGGUGUAUGUGAUGCAGUUUUCUACAAGCAGUUAGUUUGCAAGCAUUUGUUGCGGCUCUUGCAGAUCGCUGACUAUGAUCUUUUGAUUUCUAUUAUGAGUGCAACACCAUGCUUUAGUAUGCUUGUCCUACUUCACACAUCAGUUAUUUUUUGGUAACGCUGUCUCCAGGUUCAUGUAAAUCAGUUGGAACUUCUUUUGGCACCUAGGUCACAAAUCUUUAAGGUCUUUCUGGAGUAGUGGAAUCUGACUACUGGAACAGGUGAUUUCUUUUUAUUCCUCUAAUCCUUGGAGGGCAGAGUUAUCCAAAACCUGUUCCGAUAGAAGACAGUAAGUAUCUAAUGGAAUAAUCGAGGUGCGUGAAAACUAGACAUACACCACUAUUUUAGAAAUGAGUAAAUACUGCUUUUGGUGGUUGCGUUGGGAAAGGAAGAAAAAGUAUAAAGAAAGAGGAAUCCAAUAAUGCUUCAAAAACAUUUUUUUUCCUUCUUGACUUAUACCUGCAGUGGAGGGUUGUUAUUAUAGUAUACAAUUGUCGUGCCAUGAAAAUGUCUUUUUAUUCCAAGAAAAAGCCACUUAAGAAUUAGUGUCCCCAAUAGAGAGAACCAGACAGGGGACCUGCAAAAGUUCUCCGUCUGAGUGCGUUGUUUUGAUAAGAGGUACAUUUAUUAAUAUGACACAGCAUUUACAUAAUCUAGCAGGAAUAUGCCAUUUCAGAAAACCCUUUUUUAUUAUAA